GGGUGCUAUUUAUGAUAAUAUAGGGAACAGGGUGCUAUUUAGAAUAAUAUAGGGAACAGGGGGCUAUUUGGAAGAAUAUAGGGAACAGGGUGCUAUUUGGCAGAAUAUAGGGUGCUAUUUAGGAUAAUAUAGGGAACGGGGUGCUAUUUAUGAUAAUAUAGGGAACGGGGUGCUAUUUAGAAUAAUACAGGGUGCUAUUUGGGAGGCUGCCCGACAGAUCCUGUUUACACUAGAUAGACACAGUAUGCCUGGCCUGGCCUAACCCAAACACUGUCCUGGCCUAUCCCUGGCGCUGCUUUGCCUGGCCUAAAGUAUUUCUGUAAAAACAUUUUUUGAUCACUACUUAAGUUGUUUUUGGGUAUCUUUUUCACAACUUUUACUUCAUUACAUUCCGAAAGAUAAGAAUGUACUUUUUACUCCAUACAUUUUCCCUUACACCCAAAAGUACUCAUUACAUUUUGAAUGCUUAGCAGGACAGGACUAUUAGCUCACACAAACUCAUUGAAUAACAGAUUCACUACAGAUAUUAUCAAAUAAAUAAAAUUAAAUUAAAUAUAUAUAUAUACACACAUAAAACAGGUUUUUAACCCCUUAUUUCUGGCACACAUGUUUAGUCCAAACUAAACAUCCUGAAAUGAUUCUGACCUGUUACAUGACAGCCUCAUUCCAAAAUGGAUUUUACAUUGUUGAUUUUUCUCAACAAUCUACACACAAUAAGGCAGGUAUCCUAGUGGUUAGAGUUGGACAGUACCUGAAAGGUUGCUAGAUGGAAUCCCCGAGCUGACAAGGUAAAAAUCUGUCGUUCUGCCCCUGAACAGGCAGUUAACCCACUGUUCGUAGGUCGUCAUUGAAAUUAAGAAUUUAUUCUUAAAUGACUUGCCUAGUUAAAUAAAGACUUGAUUGGAGUCCUCCUGUGGUGAAUUCAAUUGAUUGGACAUGCUUCAGAAAGGCAGACACCUGUCUUUAUAAGGUCCCACAGUAAAAAAAAUAAUAAUCUUUAUUUAACAGUGUUUUGAAGCUUUAGAAUGCUUCCUAUGCAAAUCUACCAAUUAUAUGCAUAUCCUAGCUUCUGGGCCUGAGUAACAGGCAGUUUACUUUGGGCACGCUUCUCAUCCAGACGUCGAAAUACUGCCCCCAAGCCAUAAGAAGUUUUAAGACACCUUCUUCUUCCCUAGUC
ensembl:lncRNA